rnacentral:rRNA from 1 species
UCUACGGGAGGCAGCAGUGGGGAAUAUUGGACAAUGGGGGCAACCCUGAUCCAGCCAUGCCGCGUGUGUGAAGAGGGCCUUUUGGUUGUAAAGCACUUUAAGCAGUGAAGAAGACCUAACGGUUAAUACCCGUUAGCGAUGACAUUAGCUGCAGAAUAAGCACCGGCUAACUCUGUGCCAGCAGCCGCGGUAAUACAGAGG